GACGAACCGAGCGAACGUUGUUCGGAAUCACUGGGCUUAAAGGGCGCGUAGGCGGGCUGCCGCGUCCGGGGUGAAAUCCUCCGGCUCAACCGGGGAACGGCCUCGGAUACGGGCGGCCUCGAGGGGGGUAGGGGCAUGCGGAACUGUGGGUGGAGCGGUGAAAUGCGUUGAUAUCCACAGGAACUCCGGUGGCGAAGGCGGCGUGCUGGACCCCAUCUGACGCUGAGGCGCGAAAGCCAGGGGAGCAAACGGG
rnacentral:rRNA from 1 species